UGGAGGACAGUUGACUAAGUGUGGAGAUUAUGUGGUCAUGUCUGUCUACUUUGAUCUGAGCAGAAGAAUGGGAUACUUUACCAUCCAGACCUAUAUCCCCUGCACACUCAUUGUCGUCCUAUCCUGGGUGUCUUUCUGGAUCAAUAAGGAUGCUGUUCCAGCCAGAACAUCUUUAGGUAUCACCACUGUCCUGACAAUGACUACCCUCAGCACCAUUGCCCGGAAAUCGCUCCCCAAGGUCUCCUAUGUCACAGCGAUGGAUCUCUUUGUAUCUGUUUGUUUCAUCUUUGUCUUCUCUGCUCUGGUGGAGUAUGGCACCUUGCAUUAUUUUGUCAGCAACCGGAAACCAAGCAAGGACAAAGAUAAAAAGAAGAAAAACCCUCUUCUUCGGAUGUUUUCCUUCAAGGCCCCUACCAUUGAUAUCCGCCCAAGAUCAGCAACCAUUCAAAUGAAUAAUGCUACACACCUUCAAGAGAGAGAUGAAGAGUACGGCUAUGAGUGUCUGGAUGGCAAGGACUGUGCCAGUUUUUUCUGCUGUUUUGAAGAUUGUCGAACAGGAGCUUGGAGACAUGGGAGGAUACAUAUCCGCAUUGCCAAAAUGGACUCCUAUGCUCGGAUCUUCUUCCCCACUGCCUUCUGCCUGUUUAAUCUGGUCUAUUGGGUCUCCUACCUCUACCUGUGAGGAGGUAUGGGUUUUACUGAUAUGGGUCUUAUUCACUGAGUCUCAUGGAGAGAUGUCUGUUCUAAGUCCACUUAAAUAAUCCUCUAUGUGGUUGAUAAUGAUCUGAAUCUGUUUCUAUGUCCAAACCUGGUAAAUUUUAUAAUGUCAUAUUGUUUGUGCCCAGCCCUCCUUUGGUUAGUGUACUUUGAACUUCGAUGUUUGCUGUGUUUCAAACCUGCAAGGCAAAGUAAAAUUAGAGCAAGAACAUUCAAACCAAAUAAGAUAUUUUUCAGCUACAGCAAAUGAAACAGUGAAAGCCCUGACUAUUUACAGUAGUGGUAUCCUUACUAGAUUCAUAAUGCAAUUAGAUAGAAAAGGUCCAAAACUGUACCCUAUGUUCACUCCGGGUCAAGUUGUGAUAAAUUUGAUCCCAGUAGAAU
rnacentral:sRNA from 1 species